AUACGGAGGAUGCGAGCGUUAUCCGGAUUUCUUGGGUUUAAAGGGAGCGUAGGUGGGAUAUUAAGUCAGCUGUGAAAGUUUGGGGCUCAACCUUAAAAUUGCAGUUGAUACUGGUUUCCUUGAGUACGGUACAGGUGGGCGGAAUUCGUGGUGUAGCGGUGCAAUGCUUAGAUAUCACGAAGAACUCCGAUCGCGAAGGCAGCUCACCGGGCCGGAACUGACACUGAUGCUCGAAAGUGCGGGUAUCAAACAGGAUUAGAUACCCUGGUAGUCCGCACAGUAAACGAUGAAUACUCGCUGUUUGCGAUACACUGUAAGCGGCCAAGCGAAAGCGUUAAGUAUUCCACCUGGGGAGUACGCCGGCAACGGUGAAACUCAAAUGAAUUGACGGGG
rnacentral:rRNA from 1 species